rnacentral:lncRNA from 1 species
AUAUCACUCGAAGGUGGAGUUCUGAAUCACACAAGGACAGCGCGUAUUUGCGCGUGUUCGAGAGUAGCUAAAGCUAGAUGUAAAACAAAACUCAAGUUGUAAACAAAAGGGACUCCGACUAAAUAAAGGGGGCGCAGCCCCUGGAGUCCGGAGGAGGCGCCACGGCAGGAGGGGGGCGCGCGCGACCAGGGGGAGGGCCGCGGCUCCCAACCCUAGGCACCCCACCUGGGCUGCCCUGUUGGGCCAUCUUCUUAUUCCGCUGGGCCUUUGUUCCUUAACAGCAUGAUGAAGUUUAAUUCUCUCGCACGGGCCCGAGUGAUUGG